UAAGGAAUAUUGCUCAAUGGGAGAAAUCCUGAAGCAGCAACGCCGCGUGGAGGAUGAAGGGUCUAUGACUUGUAAACUCCUGUAAAGAAGGAAAAAAUUCCCAUUUGAUGGGAGAUGAUGGUACUUCUGGAGUAAGCCCCGGCUAACUACGUGCCAGCAGCCGCGGUAAUACGUAGGGGGCAAGCGUUGUCCGGAUUUACUGGGUGUAAAGGGUGCUCAGGCGGAUUUGUAAGUCAGAGGUGAAAUCUUACAGCUUAACUGUGAAACUGCCUUUGAUACUGCAAGCCUAGAGUAUGGAAGAGAGUGAUGGAAUAUCUGGUGUAGCAGUGAAAUGCGUAGAUAUCAGAUAGAACACCAAUGGCGAAGGCAGUCACUUAGUCCAUUACUGACGCUAAAGCACGAAAGCGUGGGUAGCAAAC
rnacentral:rRNA from 1 species